rnacentral:rRNA from 1 species
GGCGGCGUGCUUAACACAUGCAAGUCGAGCGGAAAGGCCCCUUCGGGGGAACUCGAGCGGCGAACGGGUGAGUAACACGUGAGCAACCUGCCCCUGACUCUGGGAUAAGCCUGGGAAACCGGGUCUAAUACCGGAUAUGACGUGCUCCCGCAUGGGAUGUUCGUGGAAAGUUUUUCGGUUGGGGAUGGGCUCGCGGCCUAUCAGCUUGUUGGUGGGGUGAUGGCCUACCAAGGCGACGACGGGUAACCGGCCUGAGAGGGCGACCGGUCACACUGGGACUGAGACACGGCCCAGACUCCUACGGAGGCAGCAGUGGGGAAUAUUGCGCAAUGGGCGGAAGCCUGACGCAGCGACGCCGCGUGGGGGAUGACGGCCUUCGGGUUGUAAACCCCUUUCAGCAGGGACGAAGCGGAAGUGACGGUACCUGCAGAAGAAGCGCCGGCUAACUACGUGCCAGCAGCCGCGGUAAUACGUAGGGCGCAAGCGUUGUCCGGAAUUAUUGGGCGUAAAGAGCUCGUAGGCGGUUUGUCGCGUCCGUCGUGAAAGCCCACAGCUUAACUGUGGGUCUGCGGUGGAUACGGGCAGACUAGAGGCAGUAGGGGAGAACGGAAUUCCCGGUGUAGCGGUGAAAUGCGCAGAUAUCGGGAGGAACACCGGUGGCGAAGGCGGUUCUCUGGGCCUGUACUGACGCUGAGGAGCGAAAGCGUGGGGAGCGAACAGGAUUAGAUACCCUGGUAGUCCACGCCGUAAACGUUGGGCGCUAAGGUGUGGGGUCCUUCCACGGAUUCCGUGCCGGUAGCUAACGCAUUAAGCGCCCCGCCUGGGGAGUACGGCCGC